UACGGAGGAUGCAAGCGUUAUCCGGAAUGAUUGGGCGUAAAGCGUCCGCAGGUGGCUAUGUAAGUCUGCUGUUAAAGAGUGAGGCUCAACCUCAUAAGAGCAGUGGAAACUACAUGGCUAGAGUGCGUUCGGGGCAGAGGGAAUUCCUGGUGUAGCGGUGAAAUGCGUAGAGAUCAGGAAGAACACCGGUGACGAAAGCGCUCUGCUAGGCCGCAACUGACACUCAUGGACGAAAGCUAGGGGAGCGAAUGGG
rnacentral:rRNA from 1 species